rnacentral:lncRNA from 1 species
UUUCUCGUGUAUCACAUGAGGCAUCCAUACUACCAUAUCCUUGUCUACCAUAUUCGUCAUGACUCCAAAGUUCACAUGUCCUAGCCAUGCAUGCCACGUCCAUGUAACAUCAGUUUCUUGUAUUUGAAGACACUUCGGAUAUUCAACCUCCAUUGGCGUCGUCGGUUUGGUUGCCUUGCGACUUGUACUAAUAGCCUUCCACAGGGAUCUUUUAGCAUCAGUAAGUCUUCUUUUAUAUUAACCUCACAACCCAUCUCGGUUGCUUGUCCAAGACAAGGAAUGUAGUAGAUGUCUUUGAGUGCUCUUAUCUCCUCUGUUUUUCCGAUGAACAUGAUCGAACCUUUCCCAACAAUCUCGACGUUUGAUCCAUCACCAAAUUUGACUUUGCCUUUGAUGCUCUUGUCUAGGUUUGAGAAGAACUCUCUCUUGCCUGUCAUAUGGUUACUUGCACCAUUUUCAAGGUACCAUAUACUCGUAUUUCCAUCGCAUUCGUCAAACCUCUUAGGAAACACU